UAAGAGGCCACACUUCAACUGAAACAAAGGGAGACUCUAAUAGAGGCAGCAGUAAAGAAUCUUGUGCAAUGUAUGAAAGUAUGACACAGAGAUAUCGCAUUUUGUUAUAAACAAGAAGACUGUCCAAUAUACGUGCCAGCAGACGCGGUUAUACGUAAAGUCUAAGUUUUUAUUGGGAAAGGCGUAAAGGGUGUGUAGGCAAUUUGAGAUUUUAAAGGGUAAAUGGAAUAUUUAUGUAGCGGUAGAAUGCUUUUAUAUAAAUUAGAACGUCGGAGGCGAAAGCAAUUUACUAGGAAAAUCGAGGCUAAGACACGAAAGUAAGGGGAGCAAACAGGAUUAGAUACCCUGGUAGUCUUUACUGUAAACUAUGAAAAAAGAUCAUUGAAAAUUCUAGAAAUUAGAUCUAGGUGGUUGAUGAAAACUUAAGAAGAUCCGCCUGAAGAGUACGAUCGCAAGAUUAAAAUUCAAAAAAUUUGGCGGUUCACUAAUCCAAUUAGAGGAGCGUGUAGUUUAAUUCGAUAAUCCACGAUAAACCUUACCAAAAAUUGAAUAUGCUACAUACAGGUAUUGCAUGGCCGUCGUCAGUUCGUGUUGUGAAAGAAAUAGAAUGAACUAAACCCUUAAUUAAACUUAUUGUUAGAGAGUUUGAUUUAAGGAUGAUGUCAGGUCCUUAUGAUCCAAAUGUUUUGGGCUAUGUAUGCGCUACAGUUUUUUAUACAAAGAGAAAAAGGAAGCUAAAAAGUAAAAGGUUGGAUUGUUCUUUGAAAUAGGGGGAUGAAGUUGGAUUUAAUAGUAAUCGGAAAGCAGAGGGUUUCGGUGAAUAUGGCUCUAGUGUUCGUACAAAUCGCCCGUCACCUCUACCAAGUAAAAAAUUUUAAAGUAUAAAAUGAUAAAUUUAAGAAAGAAAAUUAAUAUGAUUCAGGUUUGUUAGUAAGCUAAGGUUUAUUAUUAGUAUUAUGAAGAAUUUAUAAGGUUGAGGAAGUCGUAACAUAGUGGGGGUAUUGGAAAAUGUCCUCGGAUUAAU
rnacentral:rRNA from 1 species